AGUCGCCGCUGCCGACAGUCCGAUGUUCAAGCCCUCUUGUCGAGAUCAUCAAAACUCCGGCAUCGGGAUGAAUUGGAACACUCUGCAGAAUGGAGCUCCCAAGUCGGCUUCUUCCUACCGGAGACCGCGGCUUCACGGCGUUAAAGUCCACAGGUCCAGCGGUUGGACCUUGUCAC